AUCGUUCUGCGUUUUCUCGUGUAUCUCUCUCUUUCACCCAAGUGCUGUCGUUGGCGACGAAGAAGACGAACACAAAGCAUCAUCCGAUCCACCGCCUUAUCCGUCUUCCAGCCGACGAGACAGACCAAUCUCACCAUCUCCAUCGACGCAGAUGUCCACGACGACGAGGAGGAGGUGAAAUCGGCGAUGGAGAGAUUACAUCAGGCGAAGAUCUCCAAUUAUAGCUCAAAUCGGAGUUAAUCCUUCUCAUAUCGAUCAUGAUUCGUGCAUGAGGAAAUAGUUAACCCAGAGCUGUGCUGUAUUAUAAAGUUGAAGAUUAUCAUGAAUUUGUUGGCUCACAACUCCAUGUAUCUGUCUUUGUAAAGGAGCCUCAACUUUGAGUCAAAUGAAGAUUCGGGUAAAGCAAACUACAAUCGUGAAGCCAGCUAAAGAAACACCUACACAUAGUUUAUGGCUUUCCAAUUUGGACCUGAUACAAGUAAGGUUUCACAUGGGCACACUCUCCUUCUACAAUCUUUGUUCUUCCUCCAAUCUUCCCAACGGUAAGUCCCUCAUCGAUGCUCUCAGCAAGGUUCUUGUCCUCUUCUAAAAACCAACGGUAAGUUCCUCAUGUUUGUUUGUUUAGUAGUGAUUAUUAGCAAAAGAUUGUAAGGUUUCUUUUGAUCUGAAAAUGUGCUCUUUUGUUCUUA